GAGUACUCGAGUGGCGAACGGGUGAGUAACACGUGGGUAAUCUGCCCUGCAYUCUGGGAUAAGCCUGGGAAACUGGGUCUAAUACUGGAUAUGACCUUUCUCCUUAUGGGGUUUGGUGGAAAGUUUUUCGGUGUAGGAUGAGCCCGCGGCCUAUCAGCUUGUUGGUGGGGUGAUGGCCUACCAAGGCGACGACGGGUAGCCGGCCUGAGAGGGUGAUCGGCCACAUUGGGACUGAGAUACGGCCCAGACUCCUACGGGAGGCAGCAGUGGGGAAUAUUGCACAAUGGGCGGAAGCCUGAUGCAGCGACGCCGCGUGAGGGAUGACGGCCUUCGGGUUGUAAACCUCUUUCAGCAGGGACGAAGCGUAAGUGACGGUACCUG
rnacentral:rRNA from 1 species